GUUGCUCACUGACUCAGGUGGGAAUGCUUUGCAAGGAAUUGGGCAGAAUGGCCGUUCCAGGCUGAGCCCAGGUGCAGAGGCUGCCCUUGCAGUGAGCUUCCUGCUGCUAGUGGCAGACCCAAGGGGGCAUGACCACCUUUCUCAGCAGAGAGGUCUGGGAAGCACAGUCUGGCUCCAGAGGUGACAGGGCUCCUGCUACGCUGCUCCUCUCACAGCUACUGAUGUGGUCACACUUCCCUGUCCAUCCUGGAGGUGAACGGGAACCUGAGCUGUAGGUGUGCCAAGACAACCUCGGAAUACAUCAGUCCCAAGAAAUACGAGAGCAUUGAGAUAAGGCCUGUGGGCAGCAGCUGCAGGCGCACGGAGAUCAUAAUUAAAUUAAGAACCUCAGGGAAGGUGUGUGUGAAUCCUGAAGCCCCCUGGGUAAAGAAGCUGCUGAAGCGCAUUGCCAGCACGAAGAAAAAAUAAGUUUCCUGCUAAGGAAGUUGGUGCCCAGAGCCCCGAGGCGGGCUGGCGGAUGAUGCCCAGCGAUCCUGGAAACCAACGGCAACCUGAGCUGCCGCUGCCUCAAGAGGACCCGAGCCUUCAUCCCCCCGGAGAAGUACGGCAGCAUCGAGGUGUGGCCCGUGGGGAGCAGCUGCCGGCGCCUGGAGGUGGU